GGCAUGGUGGUUUAGUGGUUAGCACAUUUGCCUUGUACCUCCAGGGUCAGGGGCUCGAUUCCCACCUCUGCCC